CUAGGAUCUCUCGGGGAGCCUGUUAGAAAAGAAACUCCUGAGCCUGCUCCAGAGCUUCUGUUCAGCAGGCCUGAGGUGGGACCAUACACCUGUCUUUUCAGCAAGCCCCCCCCCACCUCUGAGGAUGCACCCCAAAGCUAGAGAAUUCCUGCUCUGAGCCAUCUCUGAAAGCACCAAGAGCCAGGGCCAGGGAAGCUGGGCUGGAGGAAGCUGUCUGGGAGCCCAGGAGGCAAGCAGAAAACCGCCAGGACCGCCCCACGCUGGGGGAGCAGCAGGCACGGCCCCUACCAACACCCCCUGGCACCUCGCAAAGCUAGAGCCCGCCCGGUCCCCUCCCCGGAGCGCCCUGGUCUUUGGUUCGUAUUCAGCACAUCUUCAGAAACAGUGAUAGAAAAAUGCUGGUUUCUGACUCCACCAGCUCACGGAGGAGAUGCCAGCUCACGGAGGAAAAUCUGGAAGGUGUUGAAGCAUAGACGCUGGAACAUAAAAUGACUCAUGAUCUCACUGGGAGAAGGGCUGGGAACAUCGUGGGCUCUCUUCUCCCCGCGCUCCUCUCUCCGGGUCUCUGUUUCCCUCAUUCCACGAUGUUUAGAACCAUCGGCGCACUACAUCAGACUAGAGGUCUGGGGUCACCCGACCAUCCCGCCACAAGCCCCUCCGAGGCAUCACUGUGUCCAGAUUUUGCAAACUGCACCUCCUGAAGGGGCUGGGGUCUGUCCACUUCGCCCCAUCUGCCGUGGCAGCACUUCCUCCGUGGUUCGCACCCCCACAGCAGCCUCCUGGGAAGGCACCUCCCUGGGGCCCCUCUCAGUCCACGGUGUGGAUAUGGUGAGUUCUUAAACCAUGAACUUCUGAUUUCACAGCUCUGCUUGAAGCCUUCAAUGUCAGGCUUCCUGUUGCUCUUAAGAUAAUGAUCAAAACUCUCAACAAAGUUCCCCUGAUAAAUGCUCUCAACGUGCCCCCCACCACAGCAUCCCUAACUGUAAUGAAUACAUCAUUGGUCCUCACGGCAGCGGAUUAAUCGUCUGUGAGUGUUGGUUUAAUCUUUCUCUUCUGGAGUUUAGCUGUCACUGCCAUAUCCCCAGCACGGAGCACAAUGACAUGUUUAUAUGUAGAAAAUUGAGCGAAAAAUAAAAACAGCUAACAUUUGGGUACUUAUUAUCUUCCAGGCAGCAAGCUAUGCAUUUUGCAUAUAUUAGCAAAUCCAUGAGGCAGGUGCUGUCUUCAUUGUACAGGUCAGGAAGAUUCCUGCAGCUGCUGAGUUAGUACUUUUAAGAAAGUACUGGAUUCCCUCUCACAAUGGGACUUUGAUUUUUUUAAGAAAAAGGUUUCAUAAGUUUUCAAAUAACCUGGAGCAGUUGAGCAAACUUAAUGUGCAGCGUGGUCCCUGCUGGCUGGGUUUGAGGGGCUGGGUCUCUCUGAGUGGAUGCUGGUGAGGUGCAGAGGAAGAAGAAAAGGUGCCUGAGGGCCUGUGUGGAAGGCCUGUCACACAGCACAUCCUGGGAAAUCUGUCCAGGAAGCAGCCAGGCGGGCAUCAGCCAGGCGGGCAUCAGCAUCUUCACUGUGCAGAUGAGAAACUGAGGCCGCAGAGGUGAAGGGACAUGCCCAGGAUCACUAAGGUGAUCCCUAGAAACACAGCCAGUGGCCCGGAAGCUGCACUGUUUUGUGCACCGCAGGGAUGGGCACAGAUGGGGCUGCCUGCCCUCCUCCUGGAAGGAGGGAGAACCCAGUCUGGCCUGGAGUGGUCAAGAGCUAACUCUAGACUCAGCAAGACCUACUUCUCUCUCCUGCCCCUACUUCCUUGCUGCUGACCUGGGCAAGUCGCUGAAGCCUCUCCGUGCCUCAGUCUGCUCGUGCGUAAGAUGGGCACAGGGCACACUGCCUACUUGAUUGGGCUCAACCACGUGCAGUAAGUAGCUGGUGUCUGGCAAGAGCCCUCAGGAAACAGUAACCCCAUUAAUUCAAAUGCACGUGCCUGGAACAGGCUCUGGGGGGCCAGCCCGGGAGUCCCACUCCAUGAUGGCCACCCUGGGGCCUGGCAGGCUGGGCUGGCAUCCCAGGCCCACCGGAUACUGGCUGUGCACCCCGGCCAGGCCACACAUCUCUGAGCCUCACUUUCCCGUGUGUGAGAUGAGGCUAGAAGCUGCUUUCUCUUGCGUGUGUGGGGAUUGGCGGUGACAACACGGCCAGGAGCCCAGGCCCAGCCUACGCGAGCAGCCUCGCUCCAGGCCACACGCCCCACUCCUGACAGCUCUGUGCAGCGAGUUCGUGCGCGAGCGGGUGGCUGUCUGCCAGGCGAGGGGCGCGGGUGCCCAAGAGGGCUUCACUGCUUCUGGAAAGAUCACAAGGAAAAACCACCUCCGCGGCGGGACGCUACCCGCGGGCCGCUGCGGUCCCGCUCGCGGCCGGCAGGGGGCAGGAUGUCCCCGCGAGUCGCCCGUGUCUUCGGGUGUCCUCAGGUCACCCCGCACCGCUCGCAGCCUCCGCGCCUAGUUAAAGGGCGACGCACUCAUUUCUGCAAAGAAGGAGCCCAGCGGCCCCUCCCCGGGGAACUCUUUCCAUCAACUCGGGGCCUAAUAAUUUACAUUUAAUUUGUUAGCGGUUUAAUGUUUAAUUUUAAAAGCGAGAUGAUUCAUUACCAUAUUAAUAAAUAAUAACAUUUAUUAUUCUCCUAAUGAGUGUCCAAAAUACAGAAGCAAUUACAUGUUUUAUAUAUUUUCUCGUAAUUUGAGACACCAGAGCGUUAAUUACAGAGACUCACGCGUGGACCCCAUUCUGAUCCAGGGUCCUGAUCCUGCCUUUGUUUCGGUCUCUGAACCAGCCGCCCUCCGGGGCUUCUGCAAUUCCCUCAAUUAGAGGAGAGGAAGUCGUACGUGACGAAGCUGGGGCUCUCACAGAACCCCGGCGCCCCAGACCCAGGAGCUGCAAGACCUCAGCUCCCCGUGCCCACACUCGGAGACCCAGGCCCCUCCCAGUCCCCCGUCUCCUCUGUGCAGGGUUCUUCAGGAAGAAUCGGAAAGAGGCCCCCCGACCCACAACCAGCCUCGCAUUCCCUCCUCCCGCAGGGAUCCAUUGAGCUGGGGGGUGGGACUAUCCUCACUUCACAGAUGGGGAAACUGAGUCCUGGAGAGAGACGCUCCGGUGUCCUCAGCUGGUGAGGGGCAGAUCCGGGAGCCACGUCCCACGCAGUCGGUUGGCCCCAAGCUUGGUUCCUGCCUCAACCCCAGCGCAGGUUGCAGCAGGCCCGCGUAGGAGGGCGGCCUGGGUCUGGACAGAUCCACAGCCGGCCAACGCCCCUGGCUAGCUCUCUAUGGCUUUGCUUCUUCUCUUGACUUGCCAAGUUCUUCUUGUUCAUUGUAGAAAAUGUGGAAGGUGAGGCCGGGAGCGGUGGCUCACGCCUGUAAUCCUAGCACUUUGGGAGGCCGAGGCGGGCAGAUUGCCUGAGCUCAGGAGUUCGAGACCAGCCUGGGCAACAUGGUGAAACACGUCUCUACUAAAAAAAAAAAAAAAAAAAAAAAAAAAAUUUGCUGGGCGUGACGGCAGGCGCCUGUAGUCCCAGUGGGAGUUUGGGGAGGCUGAGGCAGGAGAAUCACUUGAACCCGGGAAGCAGAGAUUGCAGUGAGCCGAGAUCGUGCCACUGCACUCCAAUCUAGCGACAGAGCAAGACUCCGUCUCAAAAAAAAAAAAAAAAAAAAAAGUGGAAGGUGAAAAAAACACGGAGAGACAGCAAAGCUGGCAAUGACAUAGCUCCAAAAAUCCCACUUCUCAGAUAAGAUGCAGGCAGUAAGGGCCUGGAGUUUUAUGUAUCCUGAUGUUUGAAAGGGCUUGGACAGGGCACUUCCUCCCUCCAUAGCUCUUCUGUCCUUAGGAAUCCCUCCCUUCUGGAGGGGAAGGGUGGGGGUUUUCCUGUUUGGUCCCCAGGGAAGGAAGUUCAGAGACAGAGGCCCACUCAGGGCCACCCCCUGGCCUGCACCCCUGAAAUGCAAUUUGGAUAAUAUGGAAAAUUACUAGGAAGAAAAAACGCUAUAAUCCCCCCACCUAGAGAUAACCAGGCGUUCUGGUAUAUACCUAUUGAGGACUUUUUUCCCAAGCAAAUACUCAGAAAGAGACUUCCUCCCAAUAGGCAUGAGAUCUUACUCCACGUGCAGUUUGUCUUAUCUUGAUUUUUUUCCAGUAAUCUUUUAAGAGUUUCCCAUGCCAUGUAGUCAUUCUUCAAAAACCCACUUUGAACAGCUGCGUAAUAUUCCGCUGUGGAGGAGUGCCCUGCAGUGUAGAGAAAUGAGUUAUUUACGCUGAAGUCUGUUAUUACAUGGACAUCUUCCCUUUUCUGACCCUGCAAUGACCACACUCAUAGGUGAGUCUCUCUGGAAAUCCUUGACUACCUCCUUAGGGUCCAUUCUUAGAAGUGGAAUUACUGGGUUAGAGGGCAUGAGUGCCUUGAGGGCGGCUGUCUCCCUCUACCUGCAUGCCUGCCAGGGCAAACCCGUGCAUGCUCCCAGGACAGGCCUGGCAGGGCGUGUCUCCCUGCUGCACCCUUGGUACCCUUGGCAGGGCUAACAUUAUCCUCUAAACCAGGUCUUUGCAGCACUUACCCUUUUCAAGGUGCUACUGUACCUCUCCUUUAAGGAG
rnacentral:lncRNA from 1 species